AGAAACCAACAGGGAUUACCUCAGUAACGGCGAGUGAAGCGGUAACAGCUCAAAUUUGAAAGCUAGCUCUUUUAGGGUUCGCAUUGUAAUUUGUAGAAGAUGCUUCGGGUGUGGCCCCGGUCUAAGUUCCUUGGAACAGGACGUCAUAGAGGGUGAGAAUCCCGUAUGUGACUGGGUGCUUUCGCUCAUGUGAAGCUCUUUCGACGAGUCGAGUUGUUUGGGAAUGCAGCUCAAAAUGGGUGGUAAAUUUCAUCUAAAGCUAAAUAUUGGCCAGAGACCGAUAGCGCACAAGUAGAGUGAUCGAAAGAUGAAAAGCACUUUGGAAAGAGAGUUAAACAGUACGUGAAAUUGUUGAAAGGGAAGCGCUUGCAACCAGACUUGCGCGCUGAUGAUCAUCCGGGCUUCUGCCCGGUGCACUCGUCUGCGCUCAGGCCAGCAUCGGUUUUGGUGGUGGGAUAAAGGCCUUGGGAAUGUAGCUUCUUUCGGGGAGUGUUAUAGCCCUCGGUGCAAUGCCGCCUACCGGGACCGAGGACCGCGCUUCGGCUAGGAUGCUGGCGUAAUGGUUGUAAGCGACC
rnacentral:rRNA from 1 species